AUAUUUUUCGUUAAUUUCAAUAUACUAGAGGUCCCGCAGUAGUCGAAAUUCGACUUAAUUAAUUGGAAUUGUAAUAGUGACCUUUUCUUCGGAGUGACUACGAUAAAAGCUCGCAUCGUGCAACUCAUAGUACCUGUUAUCUAACAGAGUUAGUCUCCGGAGACGUUCACAAACCCCAGACGUUCAGGCGGGUGGAACUAUGAUUUUAUUUUAAAUCUGACGACUGGAGGUCGACACGGAAAAUAUUGGAAAUUCAAUUUCUGUGAAUCGACGGAACAUGGACAUUUUGUCAAUGGAAACGCCAACACAUUUUUGUCAUUACGUAUUGUUAUUUUAUUGUUAUUAUUAUAUAUUAUUAUUACUUA